rnacentral:rRNA from 1 species
ACUGCAGUGGAACGCAAUUGAUUCUCCCGUAGCUUGCUACAUUUGAAUUGAUUGAGUCGCGAACGGGUGAGUAACGCGUAGGUAACCUACCUUAUAGCGGGGGAUAACUAUUGGAAACGAUAGCUAAUACCGCAUAAGAGUUGACAACACAUGUUGUUAAUUUAAAAGGAGCAAUUGCUUCACUAUGAGAUGGACCUGCGUUGUAUUAGCUAGUUGGUAAGGUAACGGCUUACCAAGGCCUCGAUACAUAGCCGACCUGAGAGGGUGAUCGGCCACACUGGGACUGAGACACGGCCCAGACUCCUACGGGAGGCAGCAGUAGGGAAUCUUCGGCAAUGGGGGGAACCCUGACCGAGCAACGCCGCGUGAGUGAAGAAGGUUUUCGGAUCGUAAAGCUCUGUUAUAAGCGAAGAACGGGAGUAAGAGUGGAAAAUUUACUCUGUGACGGUAGCUUAUCAGAAAGGGACGGCUAACUACGUGCCAGCAGCCGCGGUAAUACGUAGGUCCCGAGCGUUGUCCGGAUUUAUUGGGCGUAAAGCGAGCGCAGGUGGUUUAAUAAGUCUGAAGUUAAAGGCAUUGGCUCAACCAAUGUACGCUUUGGAAACUGUUAAACUUGAGUGCAGAAGGGGAGAGUGGAAUUCCAUGUGUAGCGGUGAAAUGCGUAGAUAUAUGGAGGAACACCGGUGGCGAAAGCGGCUCUCUGGUCUGUAACUGACACUGAGGCUCGAAAGCGUGGGUAGCGAACA